AAGAGCUGGUAUUGUCCGUAGACACCUCUAAGGUCAUGUGGCCGGCAUGACUGCAUGGAGUACCAUUACCUUCCCACCGGAGUAGUACCUAUUGAUCUACUCACAUUUGUAUGUUUUCGAACUGCUAGGUUGGCAGAAGCUGGAGCUAACAGCAGGCACUCACUCCGCUCCCCAGAUUCGAACCUGUGACUUUUCGGUCUGCAAGUUCAGCAGCUCAGCGCUUUAAUAUACUGCACCAUUGGGGGCUGUCAAGGAAUCUUAAUAUUUUCUUGCAAGGGGAGCUGGGUAUUCCUGAGUUGCAUGAAACAAUAGUUAGUCCUCCCUGCAUUUAUUGAAUCAAGCAACCGCAGCUUUAAAAUAUUUGAAAAAAAUUCCAAAAGGCAAACCUUGUUUUUUCCUCACACCAAGCAUUAUACUGAUAUGUGUAGUCAUACUCUGCUGUAGCCUCCUGCCCUUUCACAGAUCCUCUGGCUCUCUUUGGCACCCUUUUGAGUGGUUUGACAUUUUAUGUAAAGGACACCAUUUCAUUAUCCCAUUUAUAUAAUGAAACUUGAGCAUCCAUGGUUUCUGGUAUUCAUGGAGGGUUCUGGAACCAAAUCCAGAUGGACUACUGUAUUAUGUUGUACCACAAUAUAGUCAAGGCAACUUUAUUUAUACCCCAUUCCAUCUCCUGCGGGGCUCUAUUAUCCUUUGUUACAUAUUAACUCAGGGUAAUAAAUUGUAUCCAAUGUUGCUUUCACUUCCUCGCCUGCAAAAGGAGACCUUUUGCAGGCAGCUUUCUAUAACCAAAAAAUCUAUAAUAAACCCCUUUCCGAGCCGCAGAUCUCAGCCGGCUGGGCUGAGGCGGUCCAGGACCACCUUGGGAGCAAGGAAAUAUAGUUCUUUCAAUCGCAGAUAUGGAAACCCAUCGGGCCCCUGUAUCCACGACUUAACCAAUUCACUUGGGACCAAUUUCAUUCUACUCCGGAACAUUUUCUAAACUAAACUAUCGUCUCGCUUUUUGCUGCAGUGGCCCCAAUUCACCUCCCCACACAUGAAUUGGUUCUUUUCCAUGAAUGAGUUUGCGUUUUUAUGAAUGAGCACAGGCAAUGCGAUCUGAAAUGACUUUUCUAUUUUUUUAUAAACUUUUAAGUAUCAGGGACCCCUUUCUCCCUUCCCUGCAUGAACCCCAUGUAUUCCUCACACCAUUUCCUAGUCUUGGGGGGGACCCCUGUAAGCCUUUUGCCUGCCUGGGUUGAUGGAGAAUCCCUGGGAUCCCCACUUUCUUCCCCUAUGAGAAACACAAAAGGAGAUCGAAGUCCUUUUGUAUGCCCCUUAGGACUGAUUGCGUUUGUUUCCCCAACCCAUGGGAUGCUGGAUCUACUGAUUCUUCCCACAGUGGGUCCCACAUGUGUCUCCUAUCAAGUUUUAUUAUUUUUUUGUUAGUAUUAUUAUUAUCCUUAUUAUUUCUUAUGAUAUCUUACCCGCUAUAAAUGAGGCAUUGUGACCCUAACAUGAACUUUUGACCAGCACACCAUCUGGCCUGGGCACCAUCAGGAUGUCUUGAGGCUACGUGUUACUAAUAUGGAUUACCAUGACCACCUCCUGAAGAAGGGAACAAUUGACUCCUCACUCAGAUCUUGGAGGGCAAAAGCCAGACCAUCUGAGGAAGAGGAAACCUUUGGACAUUCUAAAUCACUCAUCAUAAAGGGCUUAUUAUUCCUGCGAGGGAGACAAGAAUAAGCCACUGGUGACCAGACAAAGACAUCUCCUCUCUAGACUCUGAAUCAUUCAUAAUCCUAUCAAGGUUUCUGCUAUGACUGUUCUUUCACAAUAAGGCUGGCCAGCAUGCAUCAGACUCUCAUUCAUGAGACUUGUUAAAUCAAUCAAUGAAUCCAUAGCCAGGUCCAGUUUGAGAGCCCAAAGGCUUUCUCCAGAUCGCUUGACAAAGGACUCAUAAUAGAGUCACCCAUAAUCCUGUCAUUAACAUAUGUUUGAUUUUUGUUCUUCCUGUUGCCAUGCCUCUAUCUCUUUCAUUGGCUAGCAAGGGGGAGACAUCACAGGCAGGGCUUGCGCUCCCAUUGGAUGAGACGCGCGAGCCUCCAGACCGCUUCUCCUGCCUUCUGAUAUCAGGAACUCCCCUGGCCAAUCAGCAAGGAGCCAGCCGGCUGGGCCUGGGCAGUAAAUUCAAAAUUGUAAAGUAUAAAAAGUGCAUUUUUCUAUGUAAUGGUAUGCCCGUUCUUCUUGCAACUUAUUGCUGCCAUCAUCCUGAUCCAGCUGGACAGAAUAAACCUCAGUGACCUCUGCUUCAAACUUGGAAAGGUCAUGUGGCCUGCGAGACUGGAAAGGUCCAGUGAAGAGGUUUUGGGACGUGGCAUCCUUCUUUGAUGAAGUGGACUGGAGCUGAUACGUUUACAGAGAGAGGAGCUGCAGGAUAUUCUCUAUCAGAAUAUAAUAUAGCAGAGAACUAGGAAAAUACAUUCCCUAGUCACCAACUGCAACAUCUGCAAGUUAGGAUGGGAAAAGUGUUUUAAAGAAGCAAACUCAGCACUGAUACAGAAGAAAAACUAGAUCCUUGUGUUGGUUAAUGCUUCUGCUCUUAGUCAGCUAACCUUCAUGCUGAGUUCCAGUUUGCUUUGUCAUCCUGCCCUCUGCUCUGCUGGUGCUGCUAAACCAGAACUGAAGAUGAGCUGUCUCCAGCAGCAAAGAAACAGAAUGAGUAACCACUGAAACAGAUGCGAAAAAGGGAAUUUAAAAAAAGAAAAAGCAAAUAAAACAGAAGGAAAAAAAAAACAAAAGCAGAUGGCAUGAAAAAAAAUAAAAAGGCAAGGUCUGCCUCAACCAAGAAAAAUUGUCCCUCUCAUAUACCUCCUGUCUUGUUUGCAGCGAUGUGGAAAGCUACUUUUAGGA